rnacentral:tRNA from 1 species
AAGGAUUUAGGUUAAAAAAAACCUGCGACCUUCAAAGUCUCGAAUAAAGAAAACUUUAAGCCUUA